AUUCGUGCAAUGGGUGACGUGGAACCAGGUCAGAAUCGGAAGAUAGCAGCCUUAACAUUAAUCAUUCAUGUGCACUUUUUU
rnacentral:SRP_RNA from 1 species